GACGUAGGGCGCGAGCGUUGUCCGGAUUUAUUGGGCGUAAAGAGCGUGUAGGCGGCCAGGUAGGUCUGCUGUGAAAACUCGAGGCUUAACCUCGAGAUGUCGGCGGAAACCAUCUGGCUAGAGUCCGGAAGAGGAGAGUGGAAUUCCUGGUGUAGCGGUGAAAUGCGCAGAUAUCAGGAAGAACACCCGUGGCGAAGGCGGCUCUCUAGUACGGUACUGACGCUGAGACGCGAAAGCGUGGGGAGCGAACAGG
rnacentral:rRNA from 1 species